UUUCUGCUAUCCAAAAUGGUAAUGGGAUAACAUCCUCAAGAGCUCUUAGGUGAUAAAAGUAUAACAGAAACUACCAUGUGUUGGACAUUCAUCAUGUACAUACCAUUCUGUGCUGUUUAAUAUAUAUUAUAAAAUAUAUUACCCCUCCUUUACAAAUAAGGAAACUGUGGCCCAGAAGGGUCUGUCCAAGAUUAUAAAACAAAGAAAAGGCAGAGCUGAGCUUAGAACUCAGUUUCUAAGACAGUUCUUCUGUCUUAUUUCAGUGGCCUUGUUCCUAACCUUUCACUUUCUUACUAAGGGAGCCUCAAUUCCUUCAUCUAUAAAAGAAGAACACCACCUAUCUCAUAGAAUGAAACUGUUAAUGUUGGCAAUUAUGUAUAUAAAUUACCUACCACAGUGGCUGAAAAUUGGACACUUACUCUUAAUAUCAGUAAUCACAUAACUAUCAGCUAAGUUAAAGCUAAAACUUUUUGGCAAUGUCUAAUAACAGGCCUCUACUGAAAAAGACUCAGAAUAUAUGUAUAUACCUAUGACACAUACCAAAAAUUCUAUUUAUAAUAAAGAUAAACAUGGCUGGAGUUUAUUAAAUAUAUAAUCUUGAAACAAAUAUCUUAGAAUAAUUUGUUUUAGGAGUGAUUUUAAUAAUUACAACUAUAUAUUUUAUAUUAUUGAAAUAAAUUUUGCACUCUAUUUAUAAAUGAUUCUUAAAAGCUUGACCAAACAUAUCUUCACACAGGAAGUCAGAGGCAAAACCAAGUGGAAAAGAAAAACUGAUAAGUAAAUACCUAAAACUAACAUUAAUGAACAAUUAUUGAGUCCUUACAAUGUGCUAGAAACAAUGCUAAGCAUUUCAUAUCUUUUCUCAUCUGAGGCUUAAAAAGGCCAAGGUCACAUAUUUAGUAUGUAGUAGCUAAAUAAGAAUCCAGGUCUAACUCUCAUUCCAAAAUCCAUAGGCAGUGUAAAAGCAAGGUGAAGAAGUAGUCAACACUGUUUUGCUUAUCUGUGCUCAGCACCUCUCUCUCCUUCCUUUGUACAUAUCUGGUGGCACUGUGGGGUGUAAAGUGUGGAGCCACUCUUGGCACAGGAAUGGGCAAGUGAGUCAGGCCUGUCCAUCUAUGAUACAGCACUCCACCCUUUUGGUGACAGGGGCUACUCCCAAAUGUGGUCACACAACUCAAAUGAGGCUACUCAGUCCCCCCACCCCAGGAUAUAAUCACACUCAACUGAAAAUAACAGACACUCAAGUAAUGUACUGGAAUAUCUUUUCAUUAAAAGAAAAAAAAGCAAGUCAAAAUUUAAAAUACACAGGCUGUUAUAAAAGAUUUUGAAAACAACUGAAUAUAUAGGACUAUUUUUAUCCUUCUUUGAAAGUUCUAAAUCUACCAUAUCAUCAUCUACUAAUUCAAAAUCAUAAUUUACCAUUCCUUUCCAUAUUACUGAAUUAAAAGAACAAUUCAAAUUCUCCUCCCACUUUAAGAAAUGUAUCCAAAAAACUAUUCAGUAGAUACA